rnacentral:rRNA from 1 species
AGAAUUAAUGUGAAUUGCAGGACACAUUGAUCAUCGACACUUCGAACGCACUUGCGGCCCCGGGUUCCUCCCGGGGCUACGCCUGUCUGAGCGUCG